AAACGAAUAGUCUAAGCAAGACAAUUAAUUUCGGCUUAAUAAAUCCAAGUUAAACUCUUGGUUCGUUUU
rnacentral:tRNA from 1 species